rnacentral:rRNA from 1 species
CCUUUAAGGGUUCUGAAGGAACGUUGAAGACGACGACGUUGAUAGGCCGGGUGUGUAAGCGCAGCGAUGCGUUGAGCUAACCGGUACUAAUGAACCGUGAGGCUUAACCUU